rnacentral:rRNA from 1 species
GGGUCAGUAGGUUGGUCGUGCCACCGGUACGUACUGGUCUCACUGAUUCCUCCUUCCUGAAGAACCGUAAUGCCAUUAAUUUGGUGUUGCGGGGAAACAGGACCGUUACUUUGAAAAAAUUAGAGUGUUUAAAACAAGCUAACGCUUGAAUACAUUAACAUGGAAUAAUGAAAUAGGACGAUCGAUCCUAUUUUGUUGGUUUCUAGGAUUGACGUA